CUUAUGCCUCCAGUAUUUGUUGGGCAGUUAGAGCAGUAUCAAAAAAUAAGUAACCUAGAAAACUAGGGGAGUUACAUUUUUUAUGUGGGAAGUUCUUAAAAAAGUGAUGUCCUAGGGAAGCAAGGAAAGAAUGAUUGUGAGUUUGUCUGUAAUUGAAUAAGAUAGAAAAGUGCCAUCGUGCCAAGCAUGACUUGAUGUCAGUAAAUGAACAAGUUGAUAAUGUGAAAGAGUAUGCAAUGAAGAUGGAAAGUGUUAGCAUUUUGUGGAAGAGACAAACUUUAUCACUGAUUCACUGGUAUGUUUCUUAGACUCCAAAAUAUUACAAGCUAGAUGCAAACUUCUGAUGUCAAAUCGAUGUAACCAAUCUAUGUCUCUAACAAUAUUUGUCAAUCUUUCUUGUUCUUUUGUCCUGAAUUUUAUUUAUGAAAUUACAUGUCUAUACAAAUGCAGAUUGAUAGUACAUUUGCAUCUAUUGUCAAGAUUAUAGAAUAAACUCUACAAUUAUCAAAUCUUGCUCUUGUUGCUUCAUAUGGAAGAAAAAUCUAUUCCAGUGCCUGCCACCUCAAUUACUCGAAAUGACAUUGUUAGUCCUGCACCUUAUGAUGCACAAGUAAAUGGUUCUAACCUAUUUGGGAUUUGAGUUGAGCUCUAAAAUUAACAUUAUGUAGAUGUGCUUAUAAACUUCACAUGUUUGUAAUUGUCUUCUACAAUAACUUCCAAUGGUCGAUAAUGUAGAACCCCAAAAAUAUAAAGCUAUUUUUUAUUCAACUGCUCUUAUUAGUCUCUUCACCAAGCAAUUCCAAAUGAUGAAGGGAACAAAUAACUCAAGAUUUUUUAACAGCUCUUUUAUCUUUUUUCUAUUUCCAUUUUUUAUGAUAUGUGCUCUUUCAUAUAUUUGUUGCUGCAAACCCAAUUUAUAUAGUGCAUUUUUAGAGGUGGCACUGGACUGCACAAUGUUUUAGAUUGUUUUUUAAAUAUCAAUUGAAAUAGCCGUAGUGAAUUCUGCCAACGUAGUUUAAAUUUAAUACGUUGAAAUACAGAUAAAUUUAAUCCCUAAUUAGACUGAUGUAUUUUAUUUAACUUGAAUAACAUGUGUCAACAACCUACAAUUAAACAAGUUGGUUUGGUUGUUGUCUUUGGGUGCUGAUUUGUGGUGCUUAUAUAGUAGGUUUAAUUUUGUUGGUUUAGGUCUUAAGUAUUGUUUGGUGCUUUUAGCUUGACUCUAAAACAAAGGCAGCAGAGUUUAAGGUCUUAAGCAUUGUAAAACAUAACACCUUAAGCUUGAAAAUAGGCGUUUUAAGGACAGAAUUGUGAAAUAGCCAUGGAAAUACUUGGGAAUCAAUAGGAAGGAUAAAAGUAACUUGUUGAAAGUCACGAAGUAAGCACAUGGCUCUUAGUUUUAAAUUUAAGCUCAAAUUUGCAUUUUUUGAACACUUUAGUCUUGAAAGUAAGCAUUUGGAGGAGAAAAUCAUGCAACAGCCACAAAAAUGGUCAUGAAUCAAUAUGAAAACCUUAGUGAAGAUAAACCAACUUGUACAAACUCAUAGAACAAUACAAGAUUCCCAUGUUAAAAUUAAGCUCAAACUUACAUUUGUUAACCACUUAGACUUAGAAAUUGGCAUUUAGAGGGAAAAAUCAAGAGAUCGCCACAAAAUGCCUAGAAAUCAGUAUGAACACCUUAAUAAGCAUAAAAGUAACUUGUUGUAACUCAUGGAACAAUCAUGAGACUCCCAGCUUUCAAAUUAAGCUCAAAUGUUUUUUUGAGCAUUUAUCCUUGAAAAUAGGCAUUUGAAGGGCAAAAUCAUAAAAUAGCCACAGAAAUACCCAAGAAUCAGUACGAACAAUUUAGUAAGGAUUAAAAUGUAAAAACUUGUGGAACAAUCAUAGGAUUCCCCAUUUUAAAAUCAAACUCAAAUUUGCACCUUUUUUAACACUUAAUAUUGAAAAUUAGCAUCUGGAGGGCAAAAUUGUGAAUUAGCCAUAGAAAUACCCAAGAAUUGGUUCAAACGCUUUAGUAAGGACAAAAGUAACUUAUAGAAACUCACAAAACAAGCAUGAGAAUCCUAGUUUUCAUCUUGGCUUAUUUAGGGGAUGCUCAAGGAACUUGUUCCGUUAUUUCUGUUUUUACAUUGCACAUUUGUUAUGCUCCUUGUAAUACUGUUUUCCCUCGUUUGUUUUUUCACUACAUCUGAAAUGCCAUUACUUUUUGAUGUAAAGUAUCAUCCUAGAAUGAAUUUAAAUUUCAUCAUAUCUAUUCUCAUUGUUAUUCUUUCUAAAAUUCACUCUAAUAUUUGUAAAGACUCUAUUUUUGGUUUUACAAUGAUUUUUUAAAUUAGUAUCAUCAACUUUUUCCAUUGAUUGCUAAAAAGACAGUUCUGUUUCAUAUGCACGGGAUGCCCAUAAAUGCAUGUUCUCUUCUAGGUCCUGGUUAGGGUAAAGUUCCUUCGUCACUGGCCUUUCCUUGGCUGUUUAAGGUUAUGCUUUGUUGAGCCACCAUAUUUUCAAAUGACUAUGAAACCUUUAUUCACUCAUGGGCUUGAUGUUACAGAAUUUCCAGGGGUUGCUGGAUAGCUGGAUGAGUUGUUCGCUGUUGUAUUUGAGCAAACACUAGUUGAGCCCAAUAUGCUGGUUGUUGACCUGGACAAAUUCGUUCUGCCACAACCAGAUAAUGUGGUGUAUUCAUUUGACCUUCAAACAUUUUUAGGGGGAUGUUCAAUUCUCAAAAUAUGACUUUUUUUUUGGAAGGGUGUGGCUUGGCCCAAUAGUAGUAUGCUGUUAGUGCCCCCAGUGGUACGGGUUCAAGUCACAAAAAUAGCCUCUCCAAAAAUGGGGGUAAGGAUUGGCUGAUCCAUAUAUAAAACUUGGUCCUUACGGAUUGAGGACUGGCAGAUAGUGAACCAACAUUUAGACAGACAGUAAUUGUCAUCUCCAAAUUUGAUAAUCGGCUCAAGGUCUGUAGGCAAGGCCCAGAUGAAUGAGCAGGUCUUCAAGAAGUCAUUUUGUCUUCACUCUUCGAAUAUCUGGUAUUAAUGAGAGCACUGAACAAGUACAAGGUGUCCUAAAUCUUAUGGACCUUGCUGGUAGUGAGCGUCUCUCUAAAAGUGGAUCUACUAGUGACCGAUGCUUGCUAAUGUUUGUUGGGUGGCUUCUGCUGCAAUGUUGCUGUGAGGCAGUUACUACUAGAUACUGGUUUGCUACAAAUUUGGGUUGUUGUAAGUUUGUGGGUGAUUGUCGUGCUGUUUUGCCUGUCUUUGUUAGUUUCAUGUUUUUAUUUUGUUAUCUGUUAUUUCUAUUAUGGGUACACAAUUUGGAUGUAUUUGGGUAUUUUAGUGAGUUUACCCUUUUAGGUUUUAUACAAUGCUUCUUAAAGCAGUAUCAGCAAUAUUUUUUUGCCUGCACAUCAACUUUAGGUGAUUUCAUAUCAAUGUUAUUAGUUUGUAAUAGUGGUGCCUGAGGGAUGCCUCUUGUAAAUCUGUAAAUCUUAUAAAAAAAUAUAAAUGAUUUUCAGUUA